UACGGGGGGCGAGCAAGCGUUGUUCGGAUUUACUGGGCGUAAAGGGCGCGUAGGCGGCCACCGCAAGUCGGUUGUGAAAUCUCCGGGCUUAACCCGGAAAGGUCAAUCGAUACUGCGGGGCUAGAGUGCAGAAGGGGCAACUGGAAUUCUCGGUGUAGCGGUGAAAUGCGUAGAUAUCGAGAGGAACACCUGCGGCGAAGGCGGGUUGCUGGGCUGACACUGACGCUGAAGCGCGAAAGCUAGGGGAGCGAACGGG
rnacentral:rRNA from 1 species